UGUGUGACGUGUGUGUGUGCGCUCCAUUCUGCAGCAGCAGUUCCAAACAACUGACACUGGCAGAGGCACAACAGUUGUACAGAGGAGUGACACCAUCAAUGGUAGCAGCAUUCACCUAGGCCCACAAAAAUACAGGUGGCUCGCGCGACGUGUCUUCCGACUUGGACUUCUUCAGGCUAUGGCCAUCCUACAGGUGGCAACGUUUCGACUGGGAUGUGUCUUCAUCAGGCCCGGGGAUACAUGAUGCAUUAAUUUGCCUUAAAUGAGGAGAUGUUUCCCCUUUGAAUGCUUUAGCCAAACUGAUCUCUUUUCUAUCUUCCUUUCUUUUAUACUCUCCCUUUCCCAUGCCUUUCUAAGUUAUUCUUUAACUUCUAUCUUUGACUUUUUUUAUCUAAGUUUUAUAUAGUAGGCUAUCUAACUUAUUUUAAUGUUGUUUUUAGCUUUUUCUAUAACUUAAUUUAGUUUUAAAUAGUUUUGAAUAAUUUACCUAUAAUUGGCUUUAAUUAACCUUUCUUCCCCUUCUUUCAUUUCAUAAAUUUGCAUAUUUAUAUUAAAUUUAGUAACCUUAAUUUCCUUUAUACUUUCCCUUCUUAGUUUCCUUUCCUGUCUCCCAUCCUCCAUCCUU